rnacentral:rRNA from 1 species
AUAAUAGGCUGAAACAGGUACUUAAAACCUGAAUACAUAGGGUUUUAAGAGCAAACCCGGAGAACUGAAACAUCUAAGUACCCGGAGGAAAGGACAGCAACAGCGACUCCCCUAGUAGCGGCGAGCGAACGGGGAUUAGCCCUUAAGCAAUAUGAAGGCUAGGAGAAGACUCUGGAAAGGGUCGCCAUAGUGGGUGAUAGCCCCGUAUCCGAAAAUCUGAUCAGGUGAAAUCGAGUAGGUCGGAGCACGUGAAACUCUGACUGAACAUGGGGGGACCAUCCUCCAAGGCUAAAUACUCCUGGCUGA